rnacentral:lncRNA from 1 species
UGCAAGCCCAAGAGGGGAGAUAAAUCCAGGCCGACAGGCAGCAGAGCCCCAAGAAGGAAAUUGAACCAUUUUGACGUUCUUCUAAGCCACCCCCGCUCUUGAUUUAUGAAGAAGCUUUGAAAAGAACUUGAAAACAUUAACAUGACCUAGUGAAUUCCUAAGCUGCCUGCGCUGCUCAAGCCCUGCGGUGAGGCUUUAUUUCCUGUAACUUCAGGUGGCCUAAUUACUUCCAAGCAGCCAGACAAGAUGUUUGGGUCCCGCCCAACGAGGCUGGGGAGUAUACCCUGAGCACCCGCAUUUUAUUUCAUUUCUCUGUGUAUCUUCCAGAGAGUUGAUUCGGGAUCCGUGGCAUCUUCCUUUCUCUUCAAAAACGUCUCCACAAACCAAGGUGUUCAUCGGCCCUUCUCUCACAACUCUAGCCGGCACCCCGAUUUGGGGGGCGGGGGUCCUCAUGUCCGGCACACAAAUUGCAAUAAAUGUAAUAAAUGAGCUUGUGUUCCAUGUUAGAACUUGGCAUUGUUUAAAAAUAGGUAUUUUUAAUGUUUCUUUCUCUGGAAUUGGAUUUUUGUUUUUCUCUCUUUUCUCUCUUCUAAAGCAUGGUCUUUCCUAUGGAGCAUAAACAACUCUUCCAUAAUAAAAUUGUAUUUUUGUAAGUGGAAAUCAUUCUCUGACAAGAUCCUCAGCUCGGUGCCUUCUGUUACCUGUCGCUUUCUCCCUUGCCCCUGAAUAAUUUGUCAGUGUAAUUUGUCACCUAGGAUCUUCUCCAGGCUCAGGAACUUUUUUUUUUCAAAAAAUUAUUUUGAGAAUUUCAUAACAUAACUACAUCUAUAUAAUCUCCAUCCUCCCCCUAAAAGUCUUCCUGUGUCCCCUCUCGACCCCUAUAAAUGUCGAGACCUCAUUACAUAUAUAUUAAUGUAUACAUGCAUAUACUAUUGACUAUAGACCCUAUCCUGGGUUCCUUAAUGUCCCUUGUAUAUGGCUGACCACAUUCCUGAGAUGUUCUGGCUGUUUUCAUUCUGUCUAGUAUAGGAGCUUGCACUAAUGAAUGCUCUCCCAGCAGGAUUAAUGGAUGCUCUGGUACAGUAAGAUGCAAGUGUCUGACGUCAUAGCCAGAGCAUACGUGUCAUAUCAUGGUGUGUGUCAACUCUAAGCCAAAUACUCUAGGGACCAGCCAGAUGGCUCAGUGGGUAAGGGUUGCAUGCCACAAGUCUGACAACCAAAGUUUGAUCUCUGAGCCCCGUGUGGUAGAGGGAGGGCCAAGGCAUGGACUCCUACACACAGAGAAAGAUGGUUCAGUGGUUAAAAGCACUGACUGCUCUUACAGAGGACCUUGGUUCAAAGACUAUGCCCUCUUCUAACCUCUGUGGUAAUCUUGGUGGGCACCAAGCAUGCAUGUGAUACAUGUACAUACAUACAUAUACACACACAUACAUACAUACACAUAAACAUACAAGCUAGAUAUCCAUAAAAUAAAUAUAAGAAGAAGAAAUAUCAUUGUUUAAAGUAAGAAGAAUUAAGCAUUUUAAAAAUUUUUCCACUUAUGUAAAGGACCAACAGCAUAGCGCCAUUUAUUGUAACUUUAAUUUGGGGGGAAGGGCUAAGGCAAUUAAAGUUUCUGCUGGAGGCAUCCAAAGGGUUGUGCCGAGUAAUUUCUGGUUACUGCCUUGCUCUGUUACUUAGCUGCUAGGAACACCGUGAGUGAGGUCAUGACCUAUGCUGGCUAGUUGUGCAGGCACAGGACAAUACUUCCUAAUUUCUCUUUGGAUAAAGCCAAUUCUCUUAUAGAGCUAAAAGGUGCUACUGACACUCACUGCAUAUCCAUAAAGCUGAGCUUCUGACUGUACAGCUGAGCUUCUGACUGUACAGCUGAGCUUCUGACUGCACAGCUGAGCUCUGACUGUACAGCUGAGCUUCUGACUGUACAGCUGAGCUCUGACUGCACAGCUGAGCUCUGACUGCACAGCUGAGCUCUGACUGUACAGCUGAGCUUCUGACUGCACAGCUGAGCUCUGACUGUACAGCUGAGCUCUGACUGUACAGCUGAGCUUCUGACUGCACAGCUGAGCUCUGACUGUACAGCUGAGUUUCUGACUGUACAGCUGAGCUUCUGACUGUACAGCUGAGCUUCUGACUGCACAGCUGAGCUUCUGACUGUACAGCUGAGCUUCUGACUGUACAGCUGAGCUCUGACUGCACAGCUGAGCUCUGACUGUACAGCUGAGCUCUGACUGCACAGCUGAGCUUCUGACUGUACAGCUGAGCUCUGACUGCACAGCUGAGCUCUGACUGCACAGCUGAGCUCUGACUGUACAGCUGAGCUUCUGACUGCACAGCUGAGCUUCUGACUGUACAGCUGAGCUCUGACUGUACAGCUGAGCUUCUGACUGUAUCUGACUGUACAGCUGAGUUUCUGACUGUACAGCUGAGCUCUGACUGCACAGCUGAGCUUCUGACUGUACAGCUGAGCUUCUGACUGCACAGCUGAGCUCUGACUGUACAGCUGAGCUUCUGACUGUACAGCUGAGCUUCUGACUGCACAGCUGAGCUCUGACUGCACAGCUGAGCUUCUGACUGUACAGCUGAGCUUCUGACUGUACAGCUGAGCUUCUGACUGCACAGCUGAGCUUCUGACUGUACAGCUGAGCUUCUGACUGUAGAGCUGAGCUUCUGACUAUACAGCUGAGCUCUGACUGCACAGCUGAGCUCUGACUGCACAGCUGAGCUUCUGACUGCACAGCUGAGCUUCUGACUGACUAUACAGUGACACUGCCCAUCACUGCUCAGGAUCCUGCUAGGAAACAGGUGUUGUGCUGGCACUGAUCAACAGUGUGCUGGUGUCACUAUCCUUUGCCGUUGUGCAGUGUGAGACCCCACGUAGGGGGUUGCUCUCAUUUUCCUGAUCAGUUGAUGGGAGCUCAGGGAGGUUAUUUAAGUGGCUGAGCCACACAGCUGUGCAUGCAGCCAGAUAUGGUGAAGUUGGGACUCAACACAUGUCCUGCAGACGCCCGGUACACUCUGUUACUCCUUAUCUACUAACAGUGUGUUUGAACUCAUGACGCUUUCAUCUCAGUCCGUGCUUAGCAGCCUGCCCCGCCCACUUCCUGCACAGAGGAUCAAGGAUGAGCCCUGCUCUUUGCUCUUGUCCUGGAUAGCUAUUAUAUACAGUAAUCUUUUUACUGAAUGCAAACCACUUUUGGAGCAGUAUACUUGUGUUCCUCCUUAGUUUGCUUUGGAGAAUAGUGUGUAACUGUCCUUUGCCCUGUCUCUUCAGAGGUGAGCCAGAGAUUCCCCACGACACACCCAAAUGGACGGCAGAUCAUGCUCACCUACCUGUUGCCAUGGCUACACAACAUUGAACUGGUGGACAGCAGACUCCUCCUCCCGGGGUCCAGUCCCAGCAGUCCUGAGGAUGAGGUCAAGGACCGAGAAGGAGAAGUGACUGCCUCUCAUGGACUAAAAGGGAAUGGCUGGGGCUCUCCGGAAGCUACCUCUCUGGUCCUGAAUAACCUCAUGUACAUGACAGCCAAGGUACCUCAUAUAGCAUGGCUCCAUCAGCAGGGAAGCCCUGGGUUCACAAACCUUUGCCACAAACCCAAGAAAAUAGUGUUUAUCAUAAAAUGGUUCCAGAGGAUGUUGAGUGGUGGUGGUGGGUGCACAGCAGGACACUUAGUGCCACUGAAUUCUGUACUUAAAAAUAUGUACAAUGCUAGAGUUCAAAACCAUCCUCAGCUAUAUAGUGAACUUAGAUCCAGGCUGGGCUGCAUGAAACCCUGUUU